rnacentral:rRNA from 1 species
UGGGGAAUCUUAGACAAUGGGGGCAACCCUGAUCUAGCCAUGCCGCGUGAGUGAUGAAGGCCUUAGGGUUGUAAAGCUCUUUCAGCUGGGAAGAUAAUGACGGUACCAGCAGAAGAAGCCCCGGCUAACUCCGUGCCAGCAGCCGCGGUAAUACGGAGGGGGCUAGCGUUGUUCGGAAUUACUGGGCGUAAAGCGCAUGUAGGCGGACCAGAAAGUUGGGGGUGAAAUCCCGGGGCUCAACCCCGGAACGGCCUUCAAAACUAUUGGUCUGGAGUUCGAGAGAGGUGAGUGGAAUUCCGAGUGUAGAGGUGAAAUUCGUAGAUAUUCGGAGGAACACCAGUGGCGAAGGCGGCUCACUGGCUCGAUACUGACGCUGAGAUGCGAAAGCGUGGGGAGCAAACAGG